CAUAAAUAGCCCCAGCCGAGUUGGCCCCAGCACAGGAGUAGUGUGCAACAGAUCCGCACAUGCACAUCCAAACUUUGGAUUUAGUUUUAACUUUGGAUGCGCGACUACAUUCGGGUGACCGAUCCCAGCGACGACUGGACCAACCCGAUCAUCGGCCGUGAGAUGGUAGACGAUUGAAGUGCCGCCAACAAGUUCAGUUCAAGAAUAUUUCGGCACCGAUCCAGACACCGAUCCUUUUGGGCGUUCUGGUUGAGCCGGAUUGUGCUAAUGAUGAACGUUCGUGCCGUAGUAGUGUGAUACGGCAUUCUAAAGGUGACGACUACAGGUGGAAGAGUAGUUAUUUUGUUUUAAUUUGAUUUAAAGGAAGUUGAGUGCAUUUACAAAAGAGUGAACCCUGACACCGUGCAUUGUCAGUGGUUGAUGUGGCCUUGGGAAAUUCAAGGGCGCCAAGUGAGAAGCAAGAGAAUUCCGGACGGUGUUGAAUGCGGGUGGACUGUGGUCUUGCGGUUCGGUAAGGGAGUGCCCCUACAGUGCAGUGAUGGCAAAGUCGACUUUGUUCUGGAAGUGACAAACGGCCAGCAUGGAUUGUCUGGCUCGUUUUGGUGUUUGUUUUAGCAGUAAGGUGUAAUUGGAUUGUAAACGCUUGGAAAUCAUAUAUCAUUUGCUGUGAAGAGAGAGACAAUCAUGUGGAAAAAAUGCACUUUUCAUCUGGUAAAGUUUCUAGUGGCUGCUAAUGGCGGAAAACUAUAUCACAUUUAGUCGAGCUAAAUUGGAGAGCAAAUCAUCUAGAAUCAUCGCAAUUCGAAACGUAUCUCAUGCUCGUGCAGCAUCUCCUUAUAUCCUUAAGUUUUGAUAAAAAAAAGCAAAUUGCAAAACCUUACAUCAAAAAUCAGCCCUUCAUCAUUUCCAAUCAAAUUGAAAAAGUAGCACUCAAAAUUGUAGCUUUGUCUAACAUUCUAAAUUGUAGUGAUUCUUACGAAUGUUUUUCACCAUAGUUUGUUAAAAUUCUAAAAACGACCUCAAGUUCGCAUGUUAGUACUUUGUAGGAACAGUAAUGAAUCGAAUUACAAAUGCACAUCUUCGUCGUCCGUUGUUCAUCAUUGCUAUGUGCUUGUCAUCAUUAGAUUCAAAUCGUCCCUUGUGCCAAGUGAAGCAAUAGACGUUCGUUUGUCGCCGGCACGACCUACGCUUUACGUUUCGCUCCAUGCAGGAAGACAAGAAGAUACAUUGCGGAAGAAAAUAAUUGAAGCUUUCGGUACAGUUUUCGAAGAAUCAAUCGAGUACCCGAAGUCUCAAAUUGCAAGCCACGGUACAGCACCAGUGUAGGAAAAAGAAAAGAAAAAAUGCCGAAAAAUCUGCGUCCGCCAACGUCGACCAACGCCUACGGCAGAAUUGGCUUAGUACCGGAGUCGGACGAUUCCUUGCACAGUCAGGAAAUGGAGCCUUUCUCAUAUGAGCGGAAUUCUGUGGGACUCCUCCAUACACCGAUGAUGCAGCUGCCAUCUAAAUCCAAGCGUUCGGAAUCCAUCGCCUCUUACGUUUCUCAGCAGACGAAGAUCGCUUCGAAAAACGAAGCUCGCGCGCAUUGAUUAUAGUUGUGGGCUGUGAUUACGUCCUCAGCACCACUGAGUCACACACCAAAUUCCAGCAAAAUCCAUGGUUAGGAACAAAUGCACUGCAUGAUCUUCCAUACUCCGGCUCAUCGUUUUCCCGCAGUGGUUAUUUUCUAGGA